AGUCGAGCGGACUUGAAGAGAAGCUUGCUUCUCUGAUGGUUAGCGGCGGACGGGUGAGUAACACGUAGGCAACCUGCCCUCAAGCUUGGGACAACUACCGGAAACGGUAGCUAAUACCGAAUACUUGCUUCCUUCGCCUGAAGGGAGCUGGAAAGACGGAGCAAUCUGUCACUUGAGGAUGGGCCUGCGGCGCAUUAGCUAGUUGGUGAGGUAACGGCUGACCAAGGCGACGAUGCGUAGCCGACCUGAGAGGGUGAUCGGCCACACUGGGACUGAGACACGGCCCAGACUCCUACGGGAGGCAGCAGUAGGGAAUCUUCCGCAAUGGGCGAAAGCCUGACGGAGCAAUGCCGCGUGAGUGAUGAAGGUUUUCGGAUCGUAAAGCUCUGUUGCCAGGGAAGAACGUCCUUGAGAGUAACUGCUCAAGGAGUGACGGUACCUGAGAAGAAAGCCCCGGCUAACUACGUGCCAGCAGCCGCGGUAAUACGUAGGGGGCAAGCGUUGUCCGGAAUUAUUGGGCGUAAAGCGCGCGCAGGCGGUCAUUUAAGUCUGGUGUUUAAUCCCGGGGCUCAACCCCGGAUCGCACUGGAAACUGGGUGACUUGAGUGCAGAAGAGGAGAGUGGAAUUCCACGUGUAGCGGUGAAAUGCGUAGA
rnacentral:rRNA from 1 species